CUAUCUGCAGUCGAGCGGACAGAAGGGAGCUUGCUCCCGGAUGUUAGCGGCGGACGGGUGAGUAACACGUGGGUAACCUGCCUGUAAGACUGGGAUAACUCCGGGAAACCGUAGCUAAUACCGGAUAGUUCCUUGAACCGCAUGGUUCAAGGAUGAAAGACGGUUUCGGCUGUCACUUACAGAUGGACCCGCGGCGCAUUAGCUAGUUGGUGGGGUAAUGGCUCACCAAGGCGACGAUGCGUAGCCGACCUGAGAGGGUGAUCGGCCACACUGGGACUGAGACACGGCCCAGACUCCUACGGGAGGCAGCAGUAGGGAAUCUUCCGCAAUGGACGAAAGUCUGACGGAGCAACGCCGCGUGAGUGAUGAAGGUUUUCGGAUCGUAAAGCUCUGUUGUUAGGGAAGAACAAGUGCGAGAGUAACUGCUCGCACCUUGACGGUACCUAACCAGAAAGCCACGGCUAACUACGUGCCAGCAGCCGCGGUAAUACGUAGGUGGCAAGCGUUGUCCGGAAUUAUUGGGCGUAAAGGGCUCGCAGGCGGUUUCUUAAGUCUGAUGUGAAAGCCCCCGGCUCAACCGGGGAGGGUCAUUGGAAACUGGGAAACUUGAGUGCAGAAGAGGAGAGUGGAAUUCCACGUGUAGCGGUGAAAUGCGUAGAGAUGUGGAGGAACACCAGUGGCGAAGGCGACUCUCUGGUCUGUAACUGACGCUGAGGAGCGAAAGCGUGGGGAGCGAACAGGAUUAGAUACCCUGGUAGUCCACGCCGUAAACGAUGAGUGCUAAGUGUUAGGGGGUUUCCGCCCCUUAGUGCUGCAGCUAACGCAUUAAGCACUCCGCCUGGGGAGUACG
rnacentral:rRNA from 1 species